rnacentral:rRNA from 1 species
ACCCGCUGAACUUAAGCAUAUCAAUAAGCGGAGGAAAAGAAACUAACAAGGAUUCCCCCAGUAACGGCGAGUGAAGAGGGAACAGCUCAAAUUUGAAAUCUCACGGGACAUCCCCGUGCGAAUUGUAGUUCAGAGAAGCGUUUUCGGGGGCGACUUGGAUACAAGUCCCUUGGAAUGGGGUAUCUUAGAGGGUGAGAAUCCCGUCCAUGAUCCAAAUCCUGCUCCUAUGCGAUACGCUUUCCAAGAGUCAGGUAGUUUGGGAUUGCUGCCUAAAAUGGGUGGUAAAUACCAUCUAAGGCUAAAUACUGGCGAGAGACCGAUAGCGAACAAGUACCGUGAGGGAAAGAUGAAAAGAACUUUGAAAAGAGAGUUAAACAGUACGUGAAAUUGCCAAAAGGGAAACGCUUGGAACCAGUCAUGCUGGCUGGCAAUCAUCUGUGUUCUCCGCAAAGGAUUUGACGCGGUGCACUUGUCAGUUGGCAAGUCAACAUCAGUUUGGCCUGGGGUGCAAAGCCAUGGGAAGAUAGCUUGGGCUUCGGCCUGAGUGUUAUAGCCCAUGUCCAUGCUCUGGGCAAGACUGAGGACAGCAGCCAGGUUCUCGUACCCGUCCGCCCCCCGAACCCUGUCCAUGGACAGCAUGCUGACCAGGGUCAGGGCUAGAGGGCUCGAUCGGUGAUUCAGAUCUGUGCUUAGGAUGUUGAUGAAAUGGUUCCAAACGACCCGUCUUGAAACACGG